rnacentral:rRNA from 1 species
CAUUAUUGAAUAUGCUUGAUAGGUUGUAGCUGGCUCGCUUGGAGCAUGUGCACGCUUGUCUUGACUUUAUUCAUCCACCUGUGCACCUUUUGUAGUCUUGAGUGGAUUGGAUCCGAGGAUCGGAGGAGACUCCGGAUGUGAGGAAUGCGUGGCUUUUCUCUAAUGGAUCUAGCUCGAGUACUAUGUAUUUCAUAUACUAGCAUGUUGUAGAAUGUGAUCAAUGGGAAUAAUGGAUAAUACAACUUUCAGCAACGGAUCUCUUGGCUCUCGCAUCGAUGAAGAACGCAGCGAAAUGCGAUAAGUAAUGUGAAUUGCAGAAUUCAGUGAAUCAUCGAAUCUUUGAACGCACCUUGCGCUCCUUGGUAUUCCGAGGAGCAUGCCUGUUUGAGUGUCAUUAAAUUCUCAACUCCUUCUAUUGUGAUGAUAGAUGGGGCUUGGAUAUGGGAGCUUGCGGGUCUUUAUAUUGAUAAAGGUCAGCUCUCCUGAAAUAGAUUAGCGGAACGGUUUGCAGUUGCCGUCAGUAGUGUGAUAAUUAUCUACACUGUGAUGGAUUGCUCUCUGACUAGAUCUGCUGCUAAUUGGAUGAAUUGAUGAUCUUGACCUCAAAUCAGGUAGGACUACCCGCUGAACU